rnacentral:rRNA from 1 species
CCUACGGGAGGCAGCAGUGGGGAAUAUUGGGCAAUGGAGGCAACUCUGACCCAGCAAUGCCGCGUGAGUGAUGAAGGUAAUUUUAUUGUAAAGCUCUUUUCUCUGGAACGAAUAAAUGACGGUACCAAAGGAAUAAGCCCCUGCUUACUACGUGCCAUCAGCCCCGGUCAUACGUAGGUGGCAAGCUUUUUGCGGAAUGACUGGGCGUAAAGGGUCUGUUGUUGGUUUGAUAAGUUAGAUGUGUAAUACCCAGGGCUUAAAUCGGGUGCUGCAUCUCAAACCGUUAGACUUGAGUACUGGAGAGGUGAGCGGAAUUCCUAGUGUAGCGGUGGAAUGCGUAGAUAUUAGGAGGAACAGCAGGGGCGAAGGCGGCUAUCUGGACAGCAACUGACACUGAGGCACGAAAGCGUGGGGAGCAAACAGGAUUAGAUACCCUGGUAGUC